CAGCAGCCGCGGGAAUACGUAGGGUGCAAGCGUUAAUCGGAAUUACUGGGCGUAAAGCGUGCGCAGGCGGUUAUAUAAGACAGAUGUGAAAUCCCCGGGCUCAACCUGGGAACUGCAUUUGUGACUGUAUAGCUAGAGUACGGCAGAGGGGGAUGGAAUUCCGCGUGUAGCAGUGAAAUGCGUAGAUAUGCGGAGGAACACCGAUGGCGAAGGCAAUCCCCUGGGCCUGUACUGACGCUCAUGCACGAAAGCGUGGGGAGCAAACAGGAUUAGAUACCCCCGUAGUCCCUGUCCAUUAUAC
rnacentral:rRNA from 1 species